rnacentral:rRNA from 1 species
UACGGAGGGGACUAGCGUUGUUCGGAAUUACUGGGCGUAAAGCGCACGUAGGCGGAUUUGUAAGUCAGGGGUGAAAUCCCGAGGCUCAACCUCGGAACUGCUUUUUGAUACUGCAAAUCUCGAGUCCGGAAGAGGUGAGUGGAAUUCCUAGUGUAGAGGUGAAAUUCGUAGAUAUUAGGAAGAACACCAGUGGCGAAGGCGGCUCACUGGUCCGGUACUGACGCUGAGGUGCGAAAGCGUGGGGAGCAAACAGG